AGUCGAGCGAGCAAAGUUAAAGGAAUACUUCGGUAGGAAUUUAAUAGCGCGAGCGGCGGAUGGGUGAGUAACACGUGGGCAACCUGCCCUUUAGCUUGGGAUACCACUUGGAAACAGGUGCUAAUACCAAAUAAGAAGUAAGAGCGCAUGCUCAAGCUAUGAAAGGCGGCUUUCGAGCUGUCACUAAAGGAUGGGCCCGCGGUGCAUUAGCUAGUUGGUAAGGCAACGGCUUACCAAGGCAAUGAUGCAUAGCCGAGUUGAGAGACUGAUUGGCCACAUUGGGACUGAGACACGGCCCAAACUCCUACGGGAGGCAGCAGUAGGGAAUCUUCCACAAUGGACGCAAGUCUGAUGGAGCAACGCCGCGUGAGUGAAGAAGGUUUUCGGAUCGUAAAGCUCUGUUGUUGGUGAAGAAGGACAUGGAUAGUAACUGAUCUAUGUUUGACGGUAAUCAACCAGAAAGUCACGGCUAACUACGUGCCAGCAGCCGCGGUAAUACGUAGGUGGCAAGCGUUGUCCGGAUUUAUUGGGCGUAAAGCGAACGCAGGCGGGAGAACAAGUCAGCUGUGAAAGCCCUCGGCUUAACCGAGGAACGGCAACUGAAACUGUUUUUCUUGAGUGCAGAAGAGGAGAGUGGAACUCCAUGUGUAGCGGUGAAAUGCGUAGAUAUAUGGAAGAACACCAGUGGCGAAGGCGGCUCUCUGGUCUGUAACUGACGCUGAGGUUCGAAAGCAUGGGUAGCGAACAGGAUUAGAUACCCUGGUAGUCCAUGCCGUAAACGAUGAGUGCUAAGUGUUGGGAGGUUUCCGCCUCUCAGUGCUGCAGCUAACGCAUUAAGCACUCCGCCUGGGGAGUACGACCGCAAGGUUAAAACUCAAAGGAAUUGAC
rnacentral:rRNA from 1 species